AUACGGCCAUAUCACGUUGUAACACCGGUUCCCGUGCGAUCACCGAAGUUAAGCAACGUUGAGACUGGUCAGUAACUAGAUGGAUGACCGCUUGGGAGCAACAGGUAUU